UUGCUAGGGCGGCUGGGACAGAGUACUGCAAGUCAGAUGGCUUAAAACACCACGAAUGUGUCCUCUCACAGUGCUGGAGGCCAGAAGUCUGAUAUUGUGAUGUCAGUGGGGCCGCGCUCCCUCUGAAGGCCCCAGGGGAGGCCCCUUCCUUGCCUCUUCCAGCUUCUGGUGGCCCCAGGCCAUCCCUGGCUUGCAGAUACGUGGCUCCCAUCUCUGCCUCGGUCUUCACAUGGGGCCUCCCGUCUAUGUCUCUCUGUGUGUCCCGUCCUCUUUUUACAGGGACACCAGUCAUUGGAUAAGGGCUAAUGAUCCUAAUCCAGUGUGAGCUCAUCUUAAUUAAUUACAUCUGCAAAUGCCCCAUCUCCAGUUGCAGAGUCAAACCCAUCCUGGUAUCAACCUGCUUUUAGUACUUCCAGAUUCAUAAGUCAAGAAAUCCUCCUUCCUGCUUGUACCAGUUGGCAGUGGGUUUUCUGGCAUUUGUACCUGCUGCUCCAGGCCCUACACCAGUACCCACAAAGUCCAGAAGAGGAGUGAGAUGAUUUUUGUUCCCACACACUGAGUGAGAGCUCCAAGGCUGAUUUUGACCGGAUGUUCUCAAUCCAGGGUAAAGUCCUAUGCCUUCCCAAGGUCAUACACUUCAAACUUCCUGCAUCUGGUGAUUGAACCAGGCUAGAGAGGUCUGGCUAUGGUGCACUCUGACAGGCCAUCCUCUCUCCAGGGUCCCUCCAGGUCAGCCGAAGCUUUGUUGGGCCUGUGGUUACAGCUCCUCUUUUCCUUCAGCUCAGCCCUGCUUUCUCCUCCUCCUUUUCACAGCUGUUGCUUCCUAAUGAGUCCCUUGUUCCCCAGACUCCAUAUUAGCACCUGCAUCCAGAGAACCCACCUGCCGCAUGUGCUUUUUUCUUCCCGCUUUCUUGAGGUAUAAUUGACAAAUAAAACUUGCAUAUAUUCAA